UACGUAGGUGGCAAGCGUUGUCCGGAUUUACUGGGCGUAAAGGGAGCGUAGGCGGACUUUUAAGUGAGAUGUGAAAUACUCGGGCUCAACUUGAGUGCUGCAUUUCAAACUGGAAGUCUAGAGUGCAGGAGAGGAGAAUGGAAUUCCUAGUGUAGCGGUGAAAUGCGUAGAAAUUAGGAAGAACACCAGUGGCGAAGGCGAUUCUCUGGACUGUAACUGACGCUGAGGCUCGAAAGCGUGGGGAGCAAACAGG
rnacentral:rRNA from 1 species